AAUCAACGCUGGCGGCGUGCCUCAGACAUGCAAGUCGUACGAUUAAACUUUCCUUCGGGAAAGAUAUAAAGUGGCGCACGGGUGAGUAACACGUAAGUAAUCUACCUUUGAGUGGGGAAUAACAGUCGGAAACGACUGCUAAUACCGCAUAAUGCAGCGGCUCGACAUCGAGACAGUUGUUAAAGAAUUUAUUCGCUUAAAGAGGAGCUUGCGGCAGAUUAGCUAGUUGGUAAGGUAAUGGCUUACCAAGGCGACGAUCUGUAGCCGACCUGAGAGGGUGGUCGGUCACACUGACACUGAAUAACGGGUCAG
rnacentral:rRNA from 1 species